CCACUAGUUCCUGAUUCUGAACCUAAAAAGAAGAGAGGUGGUCGUUGACUAAGAAAGAUGAAGGAAAGGUAUGCGAUAACGGACAUGAGGAAACUGGCAAACAGGAUGCAAUUUGGUAUACCAGAAGAGAGUUCCUUGGAUUAUCUUUCCAUGGAGGACUCCCAGUAGAGAAAGCCUUAGAUUGGUACAUUCAAAUCUCAAUGGCCAAAAAAGGAGGGGAAGGAGACCAUCUCACCUACAGUAUCAUUUACAUUCUUACACAUCUUACAGUAUGAGGAGCUCAAUUGUUCAUUAAGAUGGUUCCGAUGUGAGCCCCGUUUCCGUUUACAUGAAAGACUAUAUCUUGAUUCUCAUUUUGUUGUCUUCCUUGAUAUUUAAUAGGGGAUGGACUGGUUGAGGGUUAUGGAAUGCUUGGUCAGGCUGGGAGCGGCAAGCUGCGUGUAUCAAUGCGUCAGAGCAAACAUGCCGCAAAAGUCGCUAAGAAGUUCAAGGAAAAGCUUUACGGAGGCUGUGGUGCUACAUCUGGACUAACUUCAAGUUUAGCGUGUACGCCUGUGCAGGGGAUCGAGCUCUCGAAUCCACAGGCUCAUGCACACCAGCUUGGCGGUGGAGCCCAUACAAAGGAAGUUUUCAUGUAUCCGGGAGAAUUCGCUGGUUGCCGAUACCGUGAACGCUGUAGCCAAAAUGUGUAAAUGAUUUUACUAGAUGAAGUCGUGUUUGCUCGUUGUGAUAUAGUAGUUACUGACCUUCGGUGGAUGGUAAAAGGUGGAGGAUGUUACUUCAGAGAUCAAAAUAUUUUGUUUUUCAGAAGACGUACUAAUUCAAGCUGUGAUAGAUGCUUUCGGGAAUAAAUCACCUGUACUUUCUUGCCCUUGCCCUGCCUAUUUUUUGUGCAUUACAAAGUUCUUGGAUUAAUUGGUAACGUUUCUCUCAGAACUCAGAAAAAUGUUUAUUCAUAUUUUAGUCUGCAAUAACCAAUCAAAAUUAGGUUUCUGUG